CGUGCUUGCAGGUUUGCUAUGAGGAAAAACAAAUUUAUGGGCUCAAACAAAGUGUGAUAGUGAAAGUCAUUUUGCUUCUAGCUUAAGAACCAAGCCAAGAAAACAGAUAUCAACUGUGAUGCCACACUCAAAAGCUUGUUUGGUGGGAGGGACAAGGUUGGGAUGCUGGAGAUCUCCAAGCUUUUGAGCCGUGACUUCCCGAAAAUCUCCAAGCUUUUGUGGUCCAUGGAGCCAGGGAUGGCUCUUUGGUAAAAGACUUCGUUGUGGAUGGCCUCUUUUAUGGUCCAUGUUAAGUCCCAAGUCCCACUAGGUGG